rnacentral:sRNA from 2 species
AUUUAUUUAUGUUAGGUGAGGCUCCUAUAUAGAUAUACGCUACUGCCCGGAAACAUCGAGAGAUGCCAAUGGGUCAACAGGUACUACCGAAUCAAGGUUUUACUUAACGUAGCUGGACUUUUAAAAGUCUAAAGCUAUAUAGUGCUAAAACUCGGACUUAAAAAGUUUUA